GACGAACGCUGGCGGCGUGCUUAACACAUGCAAGUCGAACGCUGAAGCACCAGCUUGCUGGUGUGGAUGAGUGGCGAACGGGUGAGUAAUACGUGAGUAACCUGCCCUUGACUCUGGGAUAAGCCCGGGAAACUGGGUCUAAUACUGGAUGCUACAUGUCACCGCAUGGUGGUGUGUGGAAAGGGUUUACUGGUCUGUGGAUGGGCUCACGGCCUAUCAGCUUGUUGGUGAGGUAAUGGCUCACCAAGGCGACGACGGGUAGCCGGCCUGAGGGGGUGACCGGCCACACUGGGACUGAGACACGGCCCAGACUCCUACGGGAGGCAGCAGUGGGGAAUAUUGCACAAUGGGCGAAAGCCUGAUGCAGCGACGCCGCGUGAGGGAUGACGGCCUUCGGGUUGUAAACCUCUUUCAGCAGGGAAGAAGCCACAAGUGACGGUACCUGCAGAAGAAGCGCCGGCUAACUACGUGCCAGCAGCCGCGGUAA
rnacentral:rRNA from 1 species